CCAGCUGCAGUCACUGCCAAGCUUAUUACAGCACUGCAAUAAUAAUCCCUAAUAGAUAGCAUUUAUAUCUCCAUCUAACCACCAAAUAUCCCUCAGUGUUAAUCUGACUGCUAUUACAGGACAUUGUGGUCUGUGUGUAAUGGCGCUUGUGCUCAGAGACCCGCAGGGAGCUUCAGCCAUGUUCACAUCAGCGCUGCUGCUAUUUGUGGCAUCUUCUGUCUCGUCCAUGGAAGUGCUCGUGGCUCAGCAGAUCAAUGCACUGAACGCCACCACAGUAAAGAUCUCUUGCACUUUCACCUCCUGCUACAAACUGGAUAUCAGCAAAUUUUCUAUGAACUGGACGUAUCAGGCCACCAGAAAUGACACUGAGGAGACGUUUAUGACCUUUCUUAAGAGCAGAAUAACUCCUUUGAGGACGGAGCAUUUUUGGGACAGGGUGAAGUUUGCUGGGAACCUCGAUAAAAAUGACCUUUCCAUCACCAUCUCAGACGUGCAGCUGACAGACAAAGGGAUCUAUAACUGUUACGUACGCAAUCCUCCUGAUCGUGCGGAGGGCCAUGGAAUAAUCCAGCUGUCUGUAGUCACUGAGUUGCCUCCUCCCAGAGACUCCACCAUCGCAGUGGCAGUCGGAGCAUCUAUAGGAGGGAUGCUGGCUCUGGUGAUCCUCUCCAUGGUCAUCAUCAAGUGUGUACGCAGACAUAAGAAGCAGGAGCUCAUCUCUGAUGAACAGAAAAUGGAGGAGGAGGGAAAAACAGACGGAGACGGAGGCACAGAAGAAGGAACUAAACACAUUUAACAUGGCUCUGAUCUGAAGGGCUAAAACUCUGAGCUGAGCCUCGUUCAUCACACACAGAAAUGACUUUGCUUGAGCCCCGACGCUGUGUGGCUGCAGUUCUUUCUUUAGUUCGGAUCUUUCCUCAUUUUAAAGCCACCAAACAAUUGGAUUUCUGAAAAUCUCAGUUAACGCUCGACCUGCCGUACAUUCUGACUGAACCUUCACAGUGAGAAUCUUCCACAUGAUCUUUAUAGGAACUUUUUAAAUCUUUUAGUUUUGUGUCUUCCAAACACUGCCACUAUGUUCAGAUCGUGAUCAUGUUAAAGCUGAAGCAUUCCUAAACUAUUCAUCUUACUGCCUCAGUGGUGAAAGUUUAACAACAGAUUUUUAUAGAUGUUUUAUUCGUAUUUCCUGUCUGAUGCAAAAAAAAAAAAAGUCCUCUGAGAACCAAAUGCACUCACAAAUAUAGCAACAUUCCAAAAAAGCCACUUUUUUUGCUCCUGCUUUACUUAUCAAGGGUGUGUUUCCUGAAAAAGAUCGUAUCUAUAUACUCUAAACUUUAACUAAACCUCACUGGGGAAAAGUCUCUGGAUUCACAUUAAAAGUAAAACGAUGGCUCAGUAACUGAAACAGAGAGAUUCUGGAUGUAGAUCUUUGAAUGUUUGUAGUAACUAUAGACAUCGAUGAAAAUCCUUUAAUAUGGAUUUAUUUAAUUCUGUAUCUAUCAAAAAUAAUGUAAUUAGUGAAAAAUCCAGAACAUUUUAACUGUAUUGAUCUCAUUUUAUUAAGCAAUCUCAGGCCAUGAGAAUCUAAAGUUUUAAUUUCGCUUUGAACACUAAAUUGUCUCACAGUUUGCUACCUAAUCUGAAGUAAUGUUCCAAAGCUAAUGGCUCAACAUUAGUCAGAGGUCAUCUACAUGUGCAUUUGUUCACUAGCCAGAGGUCACGUGUGUAGUGGAAGCUGCAUGGAACACGUUGUGUGUGAACUAAAGUCUGAACAAAUAAAACCUGUGAGCGUUUUUCUUGUUAAGAUUCUGGGACUGUGGAGAACUCUGAGAACUUGACUAGAGUACUAGAGUUCUGGGCAGCUUCUAAUCUGUGCUGGAUUGUUAAAUUGAUUGCUGCUGAAUGAUGAGCGUGAUUUGAUUUGAUGAGAGCUCGGUAUCCUGGUGAGUCUGUAGCUGCGAUUAGGACAUGAGCUCAUGGAGAAGAACUGAUCGAGAAGUAUGAUCAGACUGUCAUUGCAGAAGGUGUGAAAGGAUCCAAUUAAACACCUUCAGCCAAUGGACUUUAGUGGAAAGAUGAAACUUAUGACCUGACCUAGUGAAGGAACAACAACCUAGUGGGGUUUCCACAGACCGAUCAAUCAUUAUCAGUGUGUUUGAACUGAUUUGUCUGAUCGAACCCCUGAAAUAACAGCUAAUAAGAAAUGUCACCAUGAGGUGAAGGCAUAUCUGACUCAAGAAGGUGAUUUUGUAGGUUGGAAUGAGGAGCUGUUCUACAGGAGAUUGAGGAGUCCAGCAGAAAGACCAGCUACUGUAUUUUAUAAUAUUAGACCAUGAUGAGCUAGCAUGGCCAUUACAGACUGGCAGGUUUGUAGUCCAUUAACUAAAGAACAUUCUUAAGAUGAAGUUAACAAACUACUUUUUAUGGAGCUUAAGUGUUAGGAGUCUUUUGAGAAACACACCCCAGAACAGUAUUUAAGCAGCAGCAUGUUUAACAAGAAAUUCUGGCUUUUUUCCUAUUGGUCGUCAUAUAAUGACAUUAAAUUCAGGGAAAAUUGCUGAGAUAAAAUGUUCCAAUAUAUUUAGAUUGAAGAUAUGGGAUAUUAUAUACAGUAAGUCUGAAUGAAUGUGUGAAGAGUAAUUUUGAGCAUUUUUCUUUUGUAAAAGUAUGUAGCUGAACUAUUACAUUCUUUAUACUAUAUAUACAUUAUAUAAUCAACCAAUGUAAUUAUAUAUAUAUACAUAUACAGUAUAUGUGUGUGUGUGUGUGUGUGUGUGUGUGUGUGUGUGUGAUAUAUACAUAUAUGAUUACAUUGUUUGAUUAUAUAUAUAUAUAUCAUUACAUAAUUAUAUUUGUAAUUGAACCACACUGGAGCUCUGGACGUAUCUGACACCAGUGAUUUUAAUUAGUUUCUAAACUAUUAGCAUCAUUAAUGUAGAAAAACUGUGUAGCUCUUUCUUAUGCAAAUAUCUGUGCACUGCAAAAAUGUUAACAAGUGAAAUGAUCUUAAAUAUACUCAGAUUUAUCUUGUAUUUCCCGUUAUAAAAUUAAAAUACACCAAUAGAACAUUAUUAAUCUCUAUAGUCCUCAAUACAAUAAACCUAUAACAAAUAAACAUGGCGAUGCUACAUGCUAACAUGCUAAUGAACUUUAGUUUAUUUUAAUCUUAUAAUAAGAAAUGCUAGAUAUCUGUAUUUAAGGUAUUUCCACAGUAUUUGUGGUUAUAUUAACAGCUAUAGAUUCCUGAGUACGAUCAUGUAAUAUUAAAUCUACAUGCAGCAUAAAGUACAGCUUUAGUUUGGAAAUAAAACAGUAAAACAUUCUCAUCUUCAGAUCUACAACUGAUCUUACUACUUACUUUAGUACUGAAUUGUGGCAUGUUUUUGAAUCCAUUGCAUGUUGUAAAUAUUCAGUAAAAUCUGUGUUGUGUUGAGGAAGAAUGACAUCGAGGCUUGGCAGGAAGUUUGAUGAGCAAAAAUAUAUCGAUUUAAAACAAACAAACAAACAAACAAACAAAUAAAUAAAUAAAUAAAUAAAUGAAGGGUGAUUUUCAACACUUGAGGAAUUUUGCUGUAUCAGUUUUCUGCUAUUUCAGUAAAUCUUCUGUUUGUCUUUUACUUGUUUAAAAAAAAUGACCAAAAACUUAUAAUGUGACCAAACAUUUAUUUUAGUGGAUUUAGUCCUAAAGUAGUGAGAAGUUCAGGCACUCGGUGAGGGUUUCUCUUCCAGACAGAGUGUUGUUACACACAGGUCUGUAUUUAACUGGUCUUCUGCACACCUCAUAACCACCAGUGGACGUGAGAAUCAUCUGUAUAACUUACACAGUAAUGAACUAGUCACAGUAACCUGGGGUGUCUGAGGAAGAGUGUUUGACCCACAGACAUCAUCAUCAGCAUGUAUCUGUGUAUUAAAACCUGUCAACCUCUUUGUUCACUCAAUGUUCUAAGGGAACUAGCAGUGUCCCGGACCGGGUAAAGUACAGUAAACCCUGUGCCCUGUGGCCCCUGUGGCCCCUGUGCCCUGUGGCACCUCACUGCUCGUGUAUGAGCUGAUAUUAAUACAGAUGGAUGUAGGGUAUUUCUCAAACACUCCAUCAUACUUUUCUUGGAAUUCUUUAAAAGCUUUACAGGUGAUUCUCUCGCCACGUGACAGAAUAACCAAAAUAGAUCGACUGCUGAUUCCUGCAGCCUUUCAUUAUCCUUCAAAUGUUCUGCUUUCUCUUGAGAUUGAACAAUAUUUUAGUCAUUUUUAAAGUCCCAGUGUGGGGUCUUAAAUGAAGGGAAAUUAAAGUGCAGCUUGAUGAAUUUACAGAAAUUCACCUUAUUUUUGAAUGCAAAAAGAGAGUCACUGAGUCAGUAUUCACACACCUAAUGCUCACAGGAACGGAUUGAAGAAUGAACGAACGAAGGAAUGGAUGGAUGGAUGAAUGAAUGGAUGAUGCAGUAGAGACGAUACACUGCGUUAUUAAAAGAGAGCCUUAUGAACUAUAUAAUGCAUGGUUUGAUGAUCGUGCAUAUCUUUGAUUGUUCAUCUUUAUAUUUUCAGUGUGUAUGUGAAUGUUCUAAGUGUUACAUGUAUAUUGUAAAGGUUUUGUCAUUAUGCUUAAACUGUGCUGCAUAUAUUAAAUCUGAACAAGACAUUAUCACAGAUUUGAUUCAGUUAAUGUGAGUGGAUUGAACAAAAUGUACACUAGACAGUAUUAAAAGAAAAUAUAAAGA